rnacentral:rRNA from 1 species
CUCUAGAGAUAGAGCUUUCCCCUUCGGGGGACAAAGUGACAGGUGGUGCAUGGUUGUCGUCAGCUCGUGUCGUGAGAUGUUGGGUUAAGUCCCGCAACGAGCGCAACCCUUAAGCUUAGUUGCCAUCAUUAAGUUAGGCACUCUAGGUUGACUGCCGGUGACAAACCGGAGGAAGGUGGGGAUGACGUCAAAUCAUCAUGCCCCUUAUGAUUUGGGCUACACACGUGCUACAAUGGACAAUACAAAGGGCAGCUAAACCGCGAGGUCAUGCAAAUCCCAUAAAGUUGUUCUCAGUUCGGAUUGUAGUCUGCAACUCGACUACAUGAAGCUGGAAUCGCUAGUAAUCGUAGAUCAGCAUGCUACGGUGAAUACGUUCCCGGGUCUUGUACACACCGCCCGUCACACCACGAGAGUUUGUAACACCCGAAGCCGGUGGAGUAACCAUUUACGGAGCUAGCCGUCGAAGGUGGGACAAAUGAUUGGGGUGAAGUCGUAACAAGGUAGCCGUAUCGGAAGGUGCGGCUGGAUCACCUC